GAUGUUGACGAAGCCUAAGUUUCCGGGAGCGUUUCCGGUGGUUUGGUAGAGCGUGGUGGUGAGGACUGUGCCGUCUGAGAUCUUGUGGAGCUUCUGGGGGUCGUAGUAGUCGAGGAGGACGAGGAGGCUCAGAGCGUUUUUGAUGACGGAGAGCGGGUGUUUCCCGGCGAGGGAAGCCAUCGCGCCGUUGUUGAGGACGAGGAGGGUGAUGGUCGAGCGGCUGUUGAUUUCGUCGGCGAGCUUGGUUUGGGAGAGGUAGCUGUUGAAGGAGGAGUACUCCGGGUUGUCAGCGAGGAUUUGGGUGAUGUUGUGGCUGUGGACGGUGGAA
rnacentral:lncRNA from 1 species